AUUGAACGCUGGCGGCAGGCCUAACACAUGCAAGUCGAACGAGUGGCGGACUGGUGAGUAAUGUCUGGGAAAAUGCCUGAUGGAGGGGGAUAUCUACUGGAAACGGUAGCUAAUACCGCCUACUAUCGGAUGUGCCCAUGUGGGAUUAGCUAAUAGGUGGGGUAAAGGCUCACCUAGGCGACGAUCCCUAGCUUGUCUGAGAGGAUGACCAGCCACACUGGAACUGAGACACGGUCCAGACUCCUACGGGAGGCAGCAGUGGGGAAUAUUGCACAAUGGGCGCAAGCCUGAUGCAGCCAUGCCGCGUGUAUGAAGAAGGCCUUCGGGUUGUAAAGGACUUUCAGCGGGGAGGCGUUACCCGCAGAAGAAGCACCGGCUAACUCCGUGCCAGCAGCCGCGGUAAUUC
rnacentral:rRNA from 1 species